rnacentral:rRNA from 1 species
UUGGUGAACCAGCGGAGGGAUCAUUACUGAGUUUACGCUCUACAACCCUUUGUGAACAUACCUAUAACUGUUGCUUCGGCGGGUAGGGUCUCCGUGACCCUCCCGGCCUCCCGCCCCCGGGCGGGUCGGCGCCCGCCGGAGGAUAACCAAACUCUGAUUUAACGACGUUUCUUCUGAGUGGUACAAGCAAAUAAUCAAAACUUUUAACAACGGAUCUCUUGGUUCUGGCAUCGAUGAAGAACGCAGCGAAAUGCGAUAAGUAAUGUGAAUUGCAGAAUUCAGUGAAUCAUCGAAUCUUUGAACGCACAUUGCGCCCGCCAGCAUUCUGGCGGGCAUGCCUGUUCGAGCGUCAUUUCAACCCUCAAGCUCUGCUUGGUGUUGGGGCCCUACAGCUGAUGUAGGCCCUCAAAGGUAGUGGCGGACCCUCCCGGAGCCUCCUUUGCGUAGUAACUUUACGUCUCGCACUGGGAUCCGGAGGGACUCUUGCCGUAAAACCCCCCAAUUUUCCAAAGGUUGACCUCGGAUCAGGUAGGAAUACCCGCUGAACUUAAGCAUAU